GCGAACGCUGGCGGCAGGCUUAACACAUGCAAGUCGCGCGCCCCGCAAGGGGAGCGGCAGACGGGAGAGUAACACGUGGGAACAUACCUUUUGGUUCGGAACAACUGAGGGAAACUUCAGCUAAUACCGGAUAAGCCCUUACGGGGAAAGAUUUAUCGCCGAAAGAUUGGCCCGCGUCUGAUUAGCUAGUUGGUGAGGUAACGGCUCACCAAGGCGACGAUCAGUAGCUGGUCUGAGAGGAUGAUCAGCCUCACUGGGACUGAGACACGGCCCAGACUCCUACGGGAGGCAGCAGUGGGGAAUAUUGGACAAUGGGGGCAACCCUGAUCCAGCCAUGCCGCGUGAGUGAUGAAGGCCUUAGGGUUGUAAAGCUCUUUUGCCCGGGAAGAUAAUGACGGUACCGGGAGAAUAAGCCCCGGCUAACUUCGUG
rnacentral:rRNA from 1 species